UACGUAGGGUGCAGGCGUUAAUCGGAAUUACUGGGCGUAAAGCGUGCGCAGGCGGUUUUGUAAGUCAGAUGUGAAAUCCCCGGGCUUAACCUGGGAACUGCGUUUGAAACUACAAGGCUAGAGUGUGGCAGAGGGGGGUGGAAUUCCACGUGUAGCAGUGAAAUGCGUAGAGAUGUGGAGGAAUACCGAUGGCGAAGGCAGCCCCCUGGGACAUGACUGACGCUCAUGCACGAAAGCGUGGGGAGCAAACAGG
rnacentral:rRNA from 1 species